rnacentral:rRNA from 1 species
CCUACGGGUGGCAGCAGUAGGGAAUAUUGCACAAUGGGGGAAACCCUGAUGCAGCAACGCCGCGUGAGUGAAGAAGUUUUUCGGUAUGUAAAGCCCUAUCAGCAGGGAAGAAAAUGACGGUAUCUGACUAAGAAGCACCGGCUAACUACGUGCCAGCAGCCGCGGUAAUACGUAGGGGGCAAGCGUUAUCCGGAUUUACUGGGUGUAAAGGGAGCGUAGGCGGCAGCACAAGUCCGAUGUGAAAUGCCAGGGCUUAACCCCGGAACUGCUUUGGAAACUGUGCUGCUAGAGUGUAGGAGAGGUAAGUGGAAUUCCUGGUGUAGCGGUGAAAUGCGUAGAUAUUAAGAGGAACACGAGUUGCGAAGGCGGCUUACUGGACUGUAACUGACGUUGAGGCGCGAAAGCGUGGGGAGCAAACAGGAUUAGAUACCCCAGUAGUC